rnacentral:rRNA from 1 species
GAUGAACGCUAGCGGCAGGCUUAAUACAUGCAAGUCGAGGGGCAGCAUGACUGUAGCAAUACAGUUGAUGGCGACCGGCAAACGGGUGCGGAACACGUACAGAACCUUCCUUCGAGCGGGGAAUAGCCCAGAGAAAUUUGGAUUAAUACCCCAUAGUAUAUUUGAAAGGCAUCUUUUAAAUAUUAAAGAUUUAUCACUUGAAGAUGGCUGUGCGGCUGAUUAGGUAGUUGGCGGGGUAACGGCCCACCAAGCCUGCGAUCAGUAACUGGUGUGAGAGCACGACCAGUCAAACGGGCACUGAGACACGAGCCCGACUCCUACGGGAGGCAGCAGUAAGGAAUAGUGGUCAAUGGACGAAAGUCUGAACCAGCCAUGCCGCGUGGAGGAUGAAGGUCCUCUGGAUUGUAAACUUCUUUUAUAUGGGACGAAAAAAGACUUUUCUAAGUCGUCUGACGGUACCAUAUGAAUAAGCACCGGCUAACUCCGUGCCAGCCGCCGCUGUAAAAC